UACGUAGGGUGCAAGCGUUAAUCGGAAUUACUGGGCGUAAAGCGUGCGCAGGCGGUGAUGUAAGACAGGUGUGAAAUCCUCGGGCUCAACCCGAGAACUGCAUUGCAAACCGGCCUGGCUAGAGUGCAGGAGGGGGAAGCGGAAUUCCAGGUGUAGCGGUGAAAUUCGUAGAUAUCGGGAGGAACACCAGCGGCGAAGGCGGCCACCUGGACGGAUACUGACGCUGAGACGCGAAAGCGUGGGGAGCAAACAGG
rnacentral:rRNA from 1 species